rnacentral:rRNA from 1 species
AUGGGGUGCUGCUGCUCAUGGAUUCGUGGUCAUUGCACCGUGAAAUGCAGCAGCAUACGCCUCGGGUGCUGCUGCUCGUGGGUUCGUGGUCUUCGCACCGUGAAAUGCAGAAGCAUACGCCUCCUGAGCUGUGCUUGCUGUUGUUCAUGGAUCCGUGGCUUGUGCGGCAGGAAGAAGAGGGAGGCUGGGCAAGAGACAUCGACAUCAGAGAGAAAGAAAACAAAGAGGAAGUGGAGGCGCAAUUUCUGUGGCUGGACGUCACAUGAAGCGAAGGAGCCAUCAACAUCAGAGACAAAGAAAACAAAGAGGAAGUGGGGCCGCAAUUUCUGUGGCUGGACGUCACAUGAAGCGGAGGAGCCAUUGACAUCAGAGACAAAGAAAACAAAGAGGAAGUGGGGCCGCAAUUUCUGUGGCUGGACGUCACAUGAAGCGGAGGAGCCAUCGACAUCAGAGACAAAGAAGAAGAGGAAGAACGGGGCGUCGAGCUCUGAGCCGGACAACAAAAGGUGGUUCAAGACCAAGAUUUGGAGAAAGAAGAAGGCCAAGAACAAACAGUUGGCAACCCUUGUGAAAGAGAUUUCACUCCCAAAUAGUCCCAAGGCCAGGGCUGCGGCAGGGGAAAUACUACGGAUCGGCAACCACAACAUUCCUAGCAGAGUGUUUACGUACAGUCAACUGUCAGACGCGACCAAUUCUUUCAGCCAGGAGAAUCUCCUGGGAGAAGGUGGCUUUGGAAGGGUGUACAAAGGAUACAUUCCAGAGACCAUGGAAGUCAUAGCGGUUAAGCAGCUGGACAAGGAUGGGUUGCAAGGAAAUCGUGAGUUCCUUGUCGAGGUGCUGAUGCUUAGCCUCCUUCAUCACCCAAACCUUGUCACCUUGCUCGGUUACUGCACCGAAUGUGACCAAAAGAUUCUAGUGUAUGAGUAUAUGCCACUCGGUUCUUUACAAGAUCAUCUCCUAGAUCUCACUCCAAAAUCUCAGCCGCUGUCCUGGCAUAUGCGGAUGAAGAUUGCAGUUGAUGCUGCCAGAGGCCUCGAGUACUUGCAUGAGGUAGCCAAUCCACCGGUGGUAUACCGUGAUCUCAAGGCAUCAAAUAUUCUCUUGGACGGGAACUUGAGUGCAAAGUUGGCAGAUUUUGGCCUUGCAAAGCUUGGCCCAGUCGGCGACAAAACUCAUGUCACCACAAGGGUGAUGGGCACGUACGGAUACUGCGCUCCCGAGUACGCCAUGAGUGGCAAGUUAACAAAGAUGUCAGACAUAUAUUGCUUUGGUGUAGUUUUCUUGGAGCUCAUCACUGGGAGGCGAGCAAUCGACACCACGAAACCAACUCGCGAGCAAAUUCUUGUCCACUGGGCAGCGCCACUCUUCAAGGAUAAGAAGAAGUUCACCAAGAUGGCUGAUCCAAAACUUGACAGCAAGUACCCCUUAAAAGGUCUAUACCAUGCACUUGCAAUUUCAUCAAUGUGCCUACAAGAAGAAGCAAGCAGUCGUCCACUAAUCAGUGAUGUGGUGACGGCCCUUACAUUUCUUGCUGAUCCAAACUAUGACCCUCCAGAUGACAUUGAACCUCUACCUAUAACAGUUCCCGAUUUCGACAGAGGAAUUAGCCUAGGCGAACCUGAAGAGGUCAAAGAAAAGUUUGAGGGAAAACAAGUAGAGGAUAGCUAA